ensembl:lncRNA LINC01170 long intergenic non-protein coding RNA 1170
ACAUCCCGAGAUGUCACCCUGGCCCGGGCCGGUCAGGCCCUUCCACCGCAGGGCUGCCCCAUGGCAGCCAGUGACACCGCUGAGACAACUUUGCCGUGGCCUUACUUUCAUUUCCUUGGUUGUUCAGUUUAUGGCAAAAGACCCUCAGCUGUGUUUUGUUUACUAAUUCCCCUAAGCCUGCCUUAAAUCCAGACUGCCAGGGCCACAGGAAAUCUUUCAGACCCCUGACAGGUACGGUGUCUUCCUUUGGCUUUGGUAUCAAGGUAAUGCUGGCCUCAUAAGAACCACAGCAGCAAGUCACUUCAGAGUGCACUGGGGCAAAUCACAUCAUGUCAUUAUGUCAUGGAUCAUAAUGAAGCACAGAGGCUAAUUGAACCAACAGGCCUCAACGCUAAUCUCCAUGCCAGACUAGAGGCUUGAGAAGUUUUCUGAUGGGGAUAAAGGAGAGGAGAUUGAAAGCUGAAGUUAAUGAUUAAAGCCAAAUGAACCCCACAGGCAGAAUCAUAAUUCUCUACCAGCUGCUUAUUUUAGAGUCAUCUGGGUCUGGGGAUGGUUCUGGACAAAAAUACAAAUUUGGAGACCCAUCACUGGUUUGUAGGAUCAGUGAGAUCAUGAAAACUAGAAGUAAUUUCAACGCGACUUUUUUUAUUUACUUUGGAAAUGGUUCAGUUGGACACAUGAGUGAUAAGAGGUGGACAUUUCAAGUUCAAUUGUGUUUGAUGACUCAUUAGGUUAAAGAAGCUGUCAGGUGGUAAAGUCACCCCAGAGAAAUGAAGGGUAUUCUCCAGAAAGUGUGGAAACCCUGCCACUGCAGGCUAAUCAGGUGUGUUGACACAUCAGUGAGGAGCUGGCUCACAACACCUGGAGAAGCAAGCCAUGGAGGUGGAGCAGAAUCAAAUGAGCCUCCCACAAGGCACAAAGAUUCUCAGCAAGUCAGGACAUGUUACACAUGGAAAUUCCUACUCACCCAAGACAGAUGCCUAUUGCUGUGUCUCUCUCUUCCCAUACUUUCACAUUGUCUUGAAAUAUAAGCAAGAUGUGAGAGCCCACAGUGCUAUGGUAGGAGCCAUCUGCAGUGCCAUGGUCACCUGUGUCAGUGGUGGAACAAAGAGGGAAAGAUGGCUUCCACAUCCAGUGGUGACUUGAGUGGAAAAAGAAAAAAAAGAGCUCCUAUGCCUGCUGGCAGAUGCUACUGAUGGGACUAUGAGCAAUUAGAGGAGGUUUCACAUUUACUCACAACUUGGAAUUUCUAAGCAAAUUUUCACAACGCAAGGCAGCCGUACAUUCUGUGUACCUAACACUUUGUGCUUUCUCAUCUUGCUUGAUCAUUCAGGAAGCAGGUGGUCCAUUCUUUUGGCUCUAAAUAUUUUGCAUGUGAAGGGCAUAGGUAGGUGCACCACUUUGGAGAUUGUUAGCUGUGUCUGGUUCCGGGUGUCAGUUAGGCACAAAUUAGUAAGGCUGGAGGGGUUAAGAGUUGCAGAGAAGUCUGACGUGAUGGAUAAGUUAAGGAAGAGUCCUAAGAGGCCAGAAGUGAUAGAGCCCUAAAAACCAGAAUGGGCUGGUCAUGGCAUGGCAGAAGCUGACUUAUUUUUUAUCUCAUACAGAAUGGGUGUCUACUAGUUCAGUCUGUGCUUAUUUAUUAACAAAAUUAUUCACAGCAAUUCUCAGAGUCCUUCAUCAAAUUCAGUCUGCUCUUGAAUAUUCAGAAGAGAUUCUUUCUGAAUAAUGCACAAUAACUUUCUUUUUUUUUCCGAGAGGCUCCAAUGUGUCCACGCUUCUUUUUUCCCCCUUAUUUUAGUUUAAUAUAGGGUUUUCUCAGAUUUUUUUCCUAUAAUAGUUUACUAUUUUCCUAAAUCUUUCCAUUUUGUCAUCAAAUUCAACUAUUUCUCACCUCAUUCAUCUUACAGGUUGUUAAUAAAUAUACCAGAGAAUAAUGGUCCUGCUAUUGAUGGAUCCCAAGGGAGAAUUCCUAUUAAUCACUUCAAUCUUAGGGUGAGCCAUUUAUUCUUACUCUUUGUAUUUUCCCCAUUAAUGAAUGAUUCCCCUUUCCAUGUGCAGUUUUAAGUAUUCACACUGUAGUAGUUUAUUUUUAUUAUCUUCUUAGCAUUUCUCAUGAAACAGAGAUCCCAUAAUUGAUGUGUAUCUUGGACUCUGAAACUCUGCCUGUGUAUAAUGAAGGGAUUGGCCUGGAUGACCUCCUUCCUCUAUCAUUCUAGAAUCUCUCUUUGUCCCAACUUGAAACCAAACAGGUGCCAGGGUCUGUCGCAGAGAAGAAUAAUUAGCACAUCCAUUAACAUGGGCCCUGUUAACACAUCCAGUGUUGACUCUAAUUACUGGUAGAUUUUAACUGAGCUCUGCUGUCUAUAAGUGACUGUUAGCAAAUGAUAGUAUAUUUGAUUUGACAUACAUCAUACGUACUGAAUAGUAAGCUUCAGUCAACUUUUACACAAGUACUCGUAAAGAAGCUGA